rnacentral:rRNA from 1 species
GACGAACGCUGGCGGCGUGCUUAACACAUGCAAGUCGAACGAUGAUGCUGGAGCUUGCUCCAGUUGAUUAGUGGCGAACGGGUGAGUAACACGUGAGCAAUCUGCCCUUGACUCUGGAAUAACUGCGGGAAACUGUAGCUAAUACCGGAUACUUUCACCGGAAGGCAUCUUCUGGUGAUGAAAGAAUUUCGGUCAGGGAUGAGCUCGCGGCCUAUCAGCUUGUUGGGGAGGUAACGGCUCACCAAGGCGACGACGGGUAACCGGCCUGAGAGGGUGACCGGUCACACUGGGACUGAGACACGGCCCAGACUCCUACGGGAGGCUGCAGUGGGGAAUAUUGCACAAUGGGCGAAAGCCUGAUGCAGCAACGCCGCGUGAGGGAUGAAGGCCUUCGGGUUGUAAACCUCUUUUAGCAGGGAAGAAGCGAAAGUGACGGUACCUGCAGAAAAAGCACCGGCUAACUACGUGCCAGCAGCCGCCGUAA